AAUGAAAGAAGUAUAAAGAAAACUAUAAGACAUCUAGCAUCUACUCACCGUCUUCUUAUGGAUCGGGCUCAGGAACCAGGUCCUCCUGAUCUGAAAUGGUUAAAUAAGGAAUGAGCUACACUAGUCCAGUAAGGACAUUACACUAUUCACCAUCACAAAAGUAAAGGUUGGUAGAAAAUUAAAACAACCAAUGGAGCAGUAGAUUUAAACAAAUUCAUUUAUCAAUAAUCAAACCAUUUACCGUCCACUUACCGCCGUGAGAUUUAUGAAAACAACCUAUAGACACAAUAAUAUUAUAAGUAUCAUG
rnacentral:lncRNA from 1 species